rnacentral:rRNA from 1 species
CCUGGCGGCACUAGCGCGGUGGUCCCACCUGACCCCAUGCCGAACUCAGAAGUGAAACGCCGYWGMGCCGAUGGUAGUGUGGGGU